GGGUCAGUAGGUUGGUCGUGCCACCGGUACGUACUGGUCUCACUGAUUCCUCCUUCCUGAAGAACCGUAAUGCCAUUAAUUUGGUGUUGCGGGGAAACAGGACUGUUACUUUGAAAAAAUUAGAGUGUUUAAAGCAAGCCAACGCUUGAAUACAUUAGCAUGGAAUAAUGAAAUAGGACGAUCGAUCCUAUUUUGCUGGUUUCUAGGAUUGACGUA
rnacentral:rRNA from 1 species